AACGUAGGACGCAAGCGUUAUCCGGAGUUACUGGGCGUAAAGCGCGGGCAGGCGGCUCGAUGCGUCUGAUGUGAAAUCUCCUCGCUCAACGGGGAGAGGCCAUUGGAAACGGUCGAGCUGGAGGGCAGUAGAGGUAGGCGGAAUUCCGGGUGGAGUGGUGAAAUGCGUAGAUAUCGGGAGGAACACCAGUGGCGAAGGCGACUUCCUGGCCUGUUCUUGACGCUGAGGCGCGAAAGCUAGGGGAGCAAACGGG
rnacentral:rRNA from 1 species